ACAGUAUUUUCAAGGCUCGGUGUCUAACGAAAAGAUUUUUUGUUAGACACCGAGUCUUGAAAAUACUGC
rnacentral:pre_miRNA from 1 species